AUGGCCGUCGCACAGGGUUUUGCAAGCAAACAGACUCUGGAGACCCAGCAUGCAAGUUGGGAGAAUGGGAACAGCCUCGGAAACAACAUUCUCCUUUAGGGCUGCAUGGAAGAUCUAGGGGUUCUCAAGGGUCAUGAAAAACGUUCACCCUACUUUGCUGUUCCUUAGGACCUUCCUUAGGUUCCUUCCUCAACGCACUGUGUGCCUAAGUAGCAUGCUCUGGUCUCUGCAAGUGUUUGGAGCUUUCCAGAGAGAAAAGGGUACCAGCGAGUAGAUGUUUGGAGGGAAGGGGAGCACAGCGUGGGGGGAAUCUUUUCUUUAACAGCCAAAACAUCAGAUUCCUUAAAGGUGUACAAGGAGUGCCCAAGAUCUUCACUGGAUGAGGAGAACUCGCUAUGGAGUUAAAAAGCGUGUCAACAGCUGAAAACCUCCAGGGAAAUGGAGCUAAGACUACUUAUCAAGAACUGCUCUCUGUAGCAGGUUUGCAUUGUGGUCCUGGUCGCUGUUACCGCAUUCCUAACAAACGCUGUGUCCUGGCGUCCCUACGUGUACACAGUGCUUGGCAUACCACAGGGUUUCUCUUUGUAAUGCUGGGUGUUCUAGAACUCACCCAGUAGAUUAUGCUGGACUUGAAAUCAGCGAUCUGCUUCCGAGCGCUGGAAUUAAUGGUGUGUACAGCAUUGCGUGGCCCCUCUGUAUUUCACACAACCAGGGACUACGCAGAUUAAGAUGGUGCCAGAGAUUAUAAUGGAACUGAAAACUCUGUAUCAGUGAUGUCAUCGCUCUCAGUGUGACAAUGCAAGACAGCUCUACAGAGUUUGUGAUGAUGCUGAUGCCAACAAGCCCACUCUACCGUUGUUUACUAUGACUCUUGGUGGCAUCAAGAAGGACAUAAAGUGAAUGACCUGGAGCACUUAGGUUUAAGUGUACGAUGUCCACCAGAAGACAGAAUCAUGCAAGAGCACACUGCUUAGAGUGUCCCCAUCACUAAACCACAGGAAUACCUCUUCAACCAAAACCCGUAAGAAGGGGGUUAUCCCUAUAAUGAACAGUGUUACUGUCAACUGUCCUGCUGAAGAGUAGCCCAGUGGGUUCUCAAGUUCCCUAGAUGACUCUAGAACAAGAUGCAAUUGGGAGCCAAUGGGAGAGCCUCAGCCAAAUGCAAGUUCCCCAUUUUAGUACAGCUGGCAUAAAACCUAUUGGUUUUAGAGGACUGUACUUCGAAAUGAGAAAGUUCACUUUGCUGGAAGGGUGUGGGAGAGUUUUCCAAGGGAACCAGGAGUUCACCCAGAUUUUUCUGGGAAGGAGGUGAUUAGUGGCUUCUUUGUCAUAACCACCACCAGGAUAGUCCUCAUGACCAUGUCCUGCUUUUAUACUACGUAGGGGAAAAAAGCUCAACAUUAAUAGGCAGGUUGCCCACAUUCGCUCUGUGAAGUCCAUGUGUUAGAUUUGAACCUUGUACUGUGUGGGUGACAUUGAGGCUUUUUACUCAGUCACUUUCCCAGCCUGAGAUGCCACAGACAGAGCCUCAGCUAAGAAGCCCCAGCCCUGCUUUGUGUCCCAAAGCAAACACGGAAGCCCAGCUCCAAACCAUGCUAGUUCUCUGACAUUAUGAGGGGGCAAACAAGCUACCUAAACAGUACGUUAUUACAGCUGAGCCGCAUAGUGAUGAUCAUGACACCAGUUACAUAAUUAUUGUUUGAAUCUUAUUAAGUUAAUCUGCCAUUUGAUGACACACAGAAGGGUACUUCACAGUAACUGCACCAAAACAGUCAACUACACAUUAAAGAUUGCCUCAUCCAGCCAGAUUAGAGGUUUCCAAAGUCUCUCGGUGCUGUCUGGAAGGGAAGGAGAACCACUGUGACCAUGCGUCUGUUCUCUCUGAGGGAAGGAGACUCCACUGGCCUCAGAUCUUCACCACGGAUGCUCCUCUCCUUAUCAAGCUGGUAUCUCCUCACAACCUUAGCAUCUGCUCUACCCUAAGUUCAAAUUCUACAAAUGCCAAACCAGGUUUCUAAGUGGCCUUAUGGUCUCUACGUGUCUUAAGUUUUAGGUAGACAUAAUUUCAGAAUUAUAGGACUGUAUCAAAAAUAACAUGGAUAUAGUUAUAUGUAUGGAAUAGUGCAUAUUCUUUGCCCAAUUCCCCUGCUGUUGACAUUUGACCAUACUUUUGUUCCUCAGCAUUCUCCCAUCUCUCCAUGUCUUCCAUCCAUCUCUCUACUGCUAAAUGAUCUGAACUGUUAUCUGACAAUUAGAGGAAUAAUAACCCUUGCCCUCUAAAUAUUUCACCCUCUAUUUCCUAAGAUAAGAUGUCUGUGGCUGGAGAAAUGGUUCUGUCAUUAAGAGCACUAACUGUUCUUGCAGAGGACCCUGGUUCGGUUCCCAGAACCCACAGGAUGGCUCACACCAACAUCAGUUAUUUCACAGAACUCUCUGAGCUCAGGAUUCCCUCUUGAGAUUCAGACAAUAUCUUUCUGGAAGGGCAUCUCUAUCAUAAAGUGUUAUUUUCAUUCUUAGUACAAGAGGGAAUCUGGAGGCAAAAGGGGCCCAUCUCUCCAUCUGUCCCCCUACUAGGAAGGUUAACUUUGAUCCCUUGGUUAAGUGGAUCAGUUAAUUUCUUUCUGUUAAUUACUUUUGAAUAAAAAAGAGCUUACUGGAA